UGGGAUAUCAGCUAUUCCUACAAGCCUC
rnacentral:piRNA from 1 species